rnacentral:lncRNA from 1 species
CAUAUUUCAACAGACCCAAUCCCUAGAUUGCAAUAUGUUGAUUGGAUUGGAUUAAAAACUGAGCCACUAUAGCUGUUCAAGAGGGAUCACCUUAAAUCAUGGCCCAAGCAGAUUACAACAGUAGGUAACAGAACAGCUAGUAUAUCCAUACAACAAGUAAAGCAAGUAUAUAUUCAUUUGGAAAUAGAAGCAUCAUUUAAUGGAGCGCUGCACGCUCAACAAGAUCAGCAUAUUGAUCAGAGACAAAGGACUUCACCUUCAGGACUGGCUCCUUACCAUCUUUGUCGGGAGAGAAAGAUUUGAUCCCNNNNNNNUUUUAAUUUAUUAUUUAUAUAUAAUAUAUAUAUUAUAGCAAAAUAAAAAUAUAAAGGCGAGCUCAAUUAUAAAAAAACUCAUUUAUAUGUAAAGUUUCAACUAUUAGAUCAAAGUCUAAUGGAUAAGAUUUUAUAAAUCUAUUUUUUAUAUAUAUAUUCAAUCUAAUCCUUUUAAUUUAUUAUUUGUUCGUUGGCUAACUCCGAACACGAGCUGAAUUUUUUGGCUCGGUACUUUAACGAGCCAGCUCGUGUUAAACGAACCGAACAUGAGCCGACCAAGCUCGCUCGUGUUCGGCUCGUUUACACCCCUACAAAUAACUAUAACUAAAAACUAGUUUUAUUUUCCUAUGAACCAAACACUAAAAACCGUAAAAUAAAUUUUCCACGAAAAACUUUUUUCCACGGAAAUUUUUUUUUCCCAGAUUUACAUAGAACCAAACAGCCCAUAGUGGAAGCCACCUCUUCAACCCAUAAAAGCCAUCUGAAGAGGGAGAAAGUCUAGAAUACUUCAAUAAUCCCGUAUUGGAUAGAAAAAAUUCUUAUUAAAAAUAUAAGGUCACGCAAUCUAGUAAUAAUAACUAGACUUAAAUAUUUUAAGUAUUUUAGGCCGAUAAUUUAAAUCCAACGAAUUAUUAUUGCAAACUGGUUGGAUCGUUAUAUUAUCCAACCAAAAAUAUGAAUAUGCUUAUUGGAGUAGGAGCAGCAGUUGCAUUGCACCAUGCCAUAACAUUAUGCAAGUACAAAAAUAAAGGUAAAAACUGUACGCACCCCUCAAUGACAAGCCAUUUAAAAUAGGUCCCUUAAUUUCUUUAACUAGUUUAAAUUUGCAAUUAGAAUGAGUUGAACAAACAUUUUGCAAAAUUAAUGAUUGAAUUGAUUGAAAUGACUAUCAAAACAAAUAAAGUUGAAGAGGUAUCAUCGAUCGAAAUAAAUUAUGUUUAGGGAUCCAUUUCAAGAUGUCCUAUAGUUGAGGGGAUCUCCAUACAUUUUUACCAAAAGAAAACCAACUCAUCCACAGCUGCAGAAGAACAAGACAGAAGGCAACAAAAUUACAAAAAGGAAACAAGACAUAAGGCAAGAAAAAAAAAAAAGUGUAUGUUAAUCAGUUUACGUAUAUUACGUAAAAAAAGUGCAUAUUUCAACAGACCCAAUCCCUAGAUUGCAAUAUGUUGAUUGGAUUGGAUUGGAUUAAAAACUGAGCCACUAUAGCUGUUCAAGAGGGAUCACCUUAAAUCAUGGCCCAAGCAGAUUAUAACAGUAGGUAACAGAACAGCUAGUAUAUCCAUACAACAAGUAAAGCAAGUAUAUAUUCAUUCGGAAAUAGAAGCAUCAUUUAAUGGAGCGCUGCACGCUCAACAAGAUCAGCAUAUUGAUCAGAGACAAAG